UACGAAGGGUGCUAGCGUUGCUCGGAAUUACUGGGCGUAAAGCGUUUGUAGGCGGCUAUUUAAGCCAGUGGUGAAAGCCUGGGGCUCAACCCCAGAACUGCCAUUGGGACUAUUUAGCUAGAGGAUGUUAGAGGUAAGUGGAAUUCCUAGUGUAGGAGUGAAAUCCGUAGAGAUUAGGAGGAAUAUCGAUGGCGAAGGCAGCUUACUGGGACGGUACUGACGCUGAGGCGCGAAAGCGUGGGGAGCAAACAGG
rnacentral:rRNA from 1 species